ACGAACAGGCAGCGACACAUCCACUCAGCAAGCCACAGUAAAAAAGAAAUGCAGUUCUUUUAAGAUGGAAUGGCUGUCGGAGUAUGUGCAAAUUGAAGAAAAAGCGGUGAAAUUGGGUGAGAUUUUUUCUUUUUCAAGUGAGAAAGGUUUACUCUGCAAAACAUGCAGCGAUGCCAAAGUAGCAAGUGAGUUUUCAGAGGGAAAAAUGUGGACUGAAUGGAAGCUGGACUAUCUCAAGCAUCACGUUCAGCAUAAAAGUCAUUUAAAAGCUGUCGAAACUGUACGAAGACUCAAGAUGGGACAGGGGAUUGGUACAUUAUUGCGGGAGAGCGCAAAAGAGCGAGAGAAAAGGAACGAGCUGUCACACAAAACAAAAUCGGACCCUGAACAAGUUAAAGUUCUCAUUGACAAUAUUUUACUUGCCAUCAAAAUGAAUGCAUCAAUUCUGUCAGUUCAACAAAUCCACGAUCACAUGGCAAAGUAUGUGAGUAUACCAGAAAGCUGGCGAAGCAAAAACUAUGCCUUUGAAUUUGUGAAUUUAGUUUAAUGAAUCAUAUCAAAACAAAAUCCAGAAAUCGUCUUGAAGUGACACAUUUGGACCAGCUGAUGCGCAUAAAGUCAAAGCAAGAAGCAGACGAAGCCAUCAACCUGGACAAAGUGUACAACCAUUGGAGAAGUGAGAAGGACAGACGUGAAAAAUAAGAACAGGACCCUCAGCCAGGCAAAACAGGACUCUUCCCAUGGCCAAAGCAGGACUCUCACAUACUGUAUAACAUCUACACAUCCCAUUUUUCAGAUUUUUGUCUUUUUUUAAGUGGACCAAAUUACUUAUUUAAAAAUAAAGCGUGCAUAUCUAAUGUUG